rnacentral:rRNA from 1 species
UACGGAGGGUGCAAGCGUUAUCCGGAUUCACUGGGUUUAAAGGGCGCGUAGGCGGUGCGUUAAGUCGGCGGUGAAAUACUUCGGCUCAACCGGAGAAUUGCCGCUGAAACUGGCGUACUCGAGGGAGGCAGAGGUGCGUGGAACUUCCGGUGGAGCGGUGAAAUGCGUUGAUAUCCAUAGGAACUCCGGUGGCGAAAGCGGUGUGCUGGAUCCCUUCUGACGCUGAGGCGCGAAAGCCAGGGGAGCGAACGGG